rnacentral:rRNA from 1 species
GACGAACGCUGGCGGCGUGCUUAACACAUGCAAGUCGAACGGAAAGGCCCUGCUUUUGUGGUGUGCUCGAGUGGCGAACGGGUGAGUAACACGUGAGUAACCUGCUCUUCACUUUGGGAUAACUUCAGGAAACUGAGGCUAAUCCCGUAUCGCAGCUCCCCUUGCAUGGUGGGGGUUGGAACGUCUCGGCGGUUGGGGCUGGACUCGCGGCUUAUCAGCUUGCUGGUGGGCUAGUGGCUUACCCAGGCUUUGAAGGGUAGCCGGCAUGAGAGGGUGACUGGGCACAAGAGGACUAAGAGACGGCGCAGAGUGGAACGGGGGGCAGCAGUGGGAAAUAUGACACAAUGAGCGGAAGCGUGAGGCAGAGACGCCGGGUGUGGAAUGACGGCCUGCGGGUUGUAAACCGCAUUAGCCUGUGACGAAGCGGGAGUGACGGUAAUGGGUAAAGAAGCACCGGCUAACUACGUG